rnacentral:rRNA from 1 species
AACCUCCGCAAUGUACGAAAGUGCGACGGGGGGAUCCCAAGUGUUAUGCUUAAAGGUAUGACUUUUCAUUAGUGUAAAAAGCUUUUAGAAUAAGAGCUGGGCAAGACCGGUGCCAGCCGCCGCGGUAACACCGGCAGCUCGAGUGGUAGCUGUUUUUAUUGGGCCUAAAGCGUUCGUAGCCGGUUUAAUAAGUCUUUGGUGAAAGCUUGUAGCUUAACUAUAAGAAUUGCUGGAGAUACUAUUAGACUUGAAGUCGGGAGAGGUUAGAGGUACUACCGGGGUAGGGGUGAAAUCCUAUAAUCCUGGGAGGACCACCUGUGGCGAAGGCGUCUAACUGGAACGAUCUUGACGGUGAGUAACGAAAGCCAGGGGCGCGAACCGGAUUAGAUACCCGGGUAGUCCUGGCCGUAAACGAUGUAGACUUGGUGUUGGAAUGGCUUUGAGUUGUUCCGGUGCCGAAGGGAGCUGUUAAGUCCACGCCUGGGAAGUACGGUCGCAAGAUUGAAACUUAAAGGAAUU